rnacentral:rRNA from 1 species
CCUACGGGAGGCAGCAGUGAGGAAUAUUGGUCAAUGGGCGUAAGCCUGAACCAGCCAAGUCGCGUGAGGGAUGAAGGUUCUAUGGAUCGUAAACCCCUUCUAUAAGGGAAUAAAGUGUGGGACGUGUCCUAUCUUGUAUGUACCUUAUGAAUAAGGAUCGGCUAACUCCGUGCCAGCAGCCGCGGUAAUACGGGGGGUCCGAGCGUUAUCCGGAUUUGUUGGGCUUAAAGGGUGCGGAGGCGGCCUGUUAAGUCAGCGGUGAAAGUCUGUGGCUCAACCAGAGAAUUGCCGUUGAAACUGGGAGGCUUGAGUGUGGUUGAGGCAGGCGGAAUGCGUGGUGUAGCGGUGAAAUGCUUAGAUAUCACGCAGAACCCCGAUUGCGAAGGCAGCCUGCCGGGCCAUGACUGACGCUGAGGCACGAAAGCGUGGGGAUCAAACAGGAUUAGAUACCCGUGUAGUC